rnacentral:misc_RNA from 1 species
UUUCCGUAGGUGAACCUGCGGAAGGAUCAUUAUUGUAAAACAGAGGGGGGCGUUUUCCUCCCUGCUCCGGCUUUGCGGCCGUGAGCGGGUGGUCGCGCUCCUUUCCACAACCAAACCCCUGUGCACAUCUCUGGGGACUUCUGGUGGGUUUGCGCCUGCCGAGUCCCUGGCUUUACACAAACUCUUCUAUGUAUUUAGAAUGUUCAAGGACCUCGCGUCCUGUUAACAAAUAACAACUUUCAACAACGGAUCUCUUGGCUCUC